rnacentral:rRNA from 1 species
GACGAACGCUGGCGGCGUGCUUAACACAUGCAAGUCGAACGGAAAGGCCCUGCUUUUGUGGGGUGCUCGAGUGGCGAACGGGUGAGUAACACGUGAGUAACCUGCCCUUGACUGUGGGAUAACUUCAGGAAACUGGGGCUAAUACCGGAUAGGAGCGCCUGCUGCAUGGUGGGGGUUGGAAAGUUUCGGCGGUUGGGGCUGGACUCGCGGCUUAUCAGCUUGUUGGUGGGGGAGUGGCUUACCAAGGCAUUGACGGGUAGCCCGCCUGAGAGGGUGACCGGCCACAUUGCUACUGCGAUACGCCCCAGUCUCCUACGUGAGGCAGCAGUGGGGAAUCUUGCCCAAUGGGCGGAAGCCUGAUGCAGCAACCCCGCGUGCGGGAUGACGGCCUUCGUGUUGUAAACCGCUUUCGCCUGUGACGAAGCGUUAGUGACGGUAAUGGGUAAAGAAGCACCGGCUAACUACGUG